UGAGAACUUGAACUUGGCCUUCA
rnacentral:piRNA from 1 species